rnacentral:rRNA from 1 species
UGAGGAAUAUUGGACAAUGGGCGGGAGCCUGAUCCAGCCAUGCCGCGUGCAGGAAGACCGCCCUAUGGGUCGUAAACUGCUUUUGUACGGGAAGAACAAGGGGCACUUGUGCCCCCCUGACGGUACCGUAAGAAUAAGGAUCGGCUAACUCCGUGCCAGCAGCCGCGGUAAUACGGAGGAUCCGAGCGUUAUCCGGAAUCAUUGGGUUUAAAGGGUCCGUAGGCGGGCCGUUAAGUCAGGGGUGAAAGUCCGCGGCUCAACCGUGGGACCGCCCUUGAUACUGGCUGCCUCGAGUCAUGGUGAAGUGGCCGGAAUAUGUGGUGUAGCGGUGAAAUGCAUAGAUAUCACAUGGAAUACCGAUUGCGAAGGCAGGCCACUAACCAUGUACUGACGCUGAUGGACGAAAGCGUGGGGAGCGAACA